rnacentral:lncRNA from 1 species
AUUUCUGAACUUGAUAAUUGUAAUUUGUGUUAAUUGGUAAAUUGUGUCUUGUAGAGAGAUAUUUGAUAGUAAAUUACAUGUUUUUUAAAAGAAAAUUUCCUUUAUAGUGAGGUGGUAAUCAUUUCAUAAUUCUUAGUUUUGGGAAGUGUCUAUUAUAAGUAACACGUCUGACCUCUUAAAAUGUAAGGAAAUUGAAUUUAUGUAAUGAUUCAGGCUUUUCAAAGUUAAAAAGGUAGCUGUUUUGAGGAAUUGAUAGUUUGGGACAUUUGUUUUAAACAAAAUAAGCCUUUGAUCUUAUGCACAUAGCCAUACAAGUAAAAUGUUUUCUUAUUUUAAAUUAGAUUAUGUUUUAAAAUUUUUUUCAGUUUUGCUUUAUGUUUGAUUGAUUGCUUUCCUUUAUUCCUAAGACAUCCAUUAAGUUGAAUUGUUCAAAAUUGUUUCAUUUUUAAAAGCUGAGAACUGUUGUUUGUCAAAUCAAAGUUGGAUUUUAAAAUGCACAUUUUAAUUUUAAUAAGCUCUCUGGUAGUGGAACUGCAGUGACAGAUGGUUGGGAGUUUGUUCCUAAAGCUAUUACACCAGUCUUCUAAUGUGCAUACUUGUUCUGUGUAACCCUGGCAGAUUUUUUCUCUAUUUCAGAAUGGGACAACAGAAGAAGUGACUUCAAAAGAAGAGGAAGAAGAAGAGAUGGCUGAAGUAGGCAUUUUUUGAUAUAGAAGAACUUAGAUCACUAUGAGAUGAAAGAAGAGCCUAUUAGUGAGAAAAAGUUGGAGGAUGAAGGAAUUGAAAAAGAAAAUUGGGCAAUAUUAGAGAAAAUUAGGAAGACUGAAAGGCAAGACCAUUUAAAUGUGCUGCAGUGUCUGGGUCAGUGCAAGCUUCAGAUAGACUUAUGGAAGAGCUCAGGGACAUAUACAGAUCACAGAGUUAUAAGACAGGAAAGGAUCUCUAAAUCCCUGCUCUUCUGA